rnacentral:lncRNA from 1 species
CAUCUAUAGAAAACCCACGUAUACACCAGUCAUUAUACCGGCCUGGUCUAAUGAUUAUAUGCCCUAUAAACUUGCAGCCUUUAGGUCGAUGUUCAUAAGAAUACAUACCCAUAUAACCAGGUGGACGGAUAAGCGUGCAGAACUUUUAUAUGUUUUUCGCCUAGGCUGUAAAUAUGGUUAUAGUAGAAAAACCCUGGAAGGUAUUUGGGAGAGCGUACAGAAGCACAUGGCGAUGCCACACAGACGUAACCCGUUGGCCCAGCAAAGCCAACAAACACCUAUUGUUUCAACGGUUACAUAUCAUAAAACCACGGAUAGGAUCCUCAGCAAACACAUGUACGGAAGGGCGAGAAAAAUCCUUAGAAGACAGGCCCCCUCGAUUUUUGACCACUUGCGUAAUGACAAGGACCCGAUCGCAAGUAAUAGAAAAGCCGGCA